rnacentral:tRNA from 1 species
AAAGGGAGACCUAAUUCAGGUAAAAGACGAAAAAAAAGUAGUCGCUACCAAGAAUCAAUCCCAAAAGGUCGGAGCGAGGCGAAAUUGGCUUUCAAACUAGGUUCUGGGUUCAAACAAGACCUGAAUCAGGAACAAGGGCUAUUAGCUCAGGUGGUUAGAGCGCACCCCUGAUAAGGGUGAGGUCCCUGGUUCGAGUCCAGGAUGGCCCACCUGCACAGGUGGCAAAAACAAGAGAGGCGAGGAAUCAGCACCUUAUCUUACUUAUAUAGUAAGAGAGAAUGCUGGCUCUGAGUAAAGAGUCCAGAGGAACCUUGAAAACUGCAUAGAGCUAGGUGAAAAAGCCAAAAAAGAAGACCGCAAG